rnacentral:rRNA from 1 species
GCUUAGGGAGGAGCUUGCGUCACAUUAGUUAGUUGGUGGGGUAAAGGCCUACCAAGACUAUGAUGUGUAGCCGGGCUGAGAGGUUGAACGGCCACAUUGGGACUGAGACACGGCCCAAACUCCUACGGGAGGCAGCAGUAGGGAAUUUUCGGCAAUGGAGGAAACUCUGACCGAGCAACGCCGCGUGAACGAUGAAGUAUUUCGGUACGUAAAGUUCUUUUAUUAGGGAAGAAUAAAUGAUGGAAAAAUCAUUCUGACGGUACCUAAUGAAUAAGCCCCGGCUAACUAUGUGCCAGCAGCCGCGGUAAUACAUAGGGGGCAAGCGUUAUCCGGAAUUAUUGGGCGUAAAGGGUGCGUAGGCGGUUAAAUAAGUUUAUGGUCUAAGUGCAAUGCUCAACAUUGUGAUGCUAUAAAAACUGUUUAGCUAGAGUAAGAUAGAGGCAAGUGGAAUUCCAUGUGUAGUGGUAAAAUGCGUAAAUAUAUGGAGGAACACCAGUAGCGAAGGCGGCUUGCUGGGUCUUUACUGACGCUGAGGCACGAAAGCGUGGGGAGCAAACAGGAUUAGAUACCCUGGUAGUCCACGCCGUAAACGAUGAGUACUAAACGUUGGGUAAAACCAGUGUUGAAGUUAACACAUUAAGUACUCCGCCUGAGUAGUACGUACGCAAGUAUGAAACUUAAAGGAAUUGACGGGACUCCGCACAAGCGGUGGAUCAUGUUGUUUAAUUCGAAGGUACCCGAAAAACCUCACCAGGUCUUGACAUGCUUCUGCAAAGCUGUAGAAACACAGUGGAGGUUAUCAGUUGCACAGGUGGUGCAUGGUUGUCGUCAGCUCGUGUCGUGAGAUGUUGGGUUAAGUCCCGCAACGAGCGCAACCCUUAUUGUUAGUUACCAGCACGUAAUGGUGGGGACUUUAGCAAGACUGCCAGUGAUGAAUUGGAGGAAGGUGGGGACGACGUCAAAUCAUCAUGCCCCUUAUGACCUGGGCUACAAACGUGAUACAAUGGCUGUUACAAAGGGUAGCUGAAGCGCAAGUUUUUGGCGAAUCUCAAAAAAACAGUCUCAGUUCGGAUUGAAGUCUGCAA